GCACACUUCUAAGAUCAACUAACUUGCUUGAUUAGCCAAUUAGUUGACUGUGGUCCGCACAACAAUCACUUUUUGAUUUUCUUAUUACAGUUUGUACGCACCAGACACGCAGAGACUCAGAAAUUUUUACGUGUAAACUCAUAGAGCUAUCGAAGUCAACUAACGUCAUGCAUCGGCGGCCGAAGGCAUCGGAGAGCAGCGUGCGGCAGCACAAAGCUACCACACAUAUGCGCUCAUCUUACACAACACUCACACACAUGGCACGCAGCGCACAGGAAAUACAUAAUAGUGGUAACACGAAGAACGAGCGGCACAACGCCGACAACUGCGAAGCCAAGCAGCGCCGGCUCAGCCACGGGCUACGGCAACGAUGAAGGCGACGGCAGUCAGCAAACCACCAGCGAAGCAAGCAGUGGCUGGUGCUCCGGCCAGCAACCAAACAAGCGAACGUAGCGCACGGAACACAGGCGCAACGAGCGAGUGAGCGCACGAAGCUCAAACAGAGACACAACGUAGAAGUGGUAGUGUUAUCAGUGGUGGCAGCAUAAGCAGUGGUUUAUAGGUGUAGAUAGCUACAACAAAAGCAGGCGUACUCACCUAUGCCACGGUUUUGUUGUGCGAAUGAGAGCGCGAUAAAAUGGCCGCCGAAAACAGCAGCAGCGAGAAGAGCACGAUUAUAUCUUUGCUCUCGCCUAAGGGCACUGGAUGGCACAGUAAUAAAUACUACAGAAUGGCAGGCAGGGAAAUGGCAACACCAACAACAACAAGUGGCAUGUGUGCGACUCAUGCAGAGAGCGUGCGACUAUAUUACUGUUAUUCCAAGAGUCCAUGAAACUACAAGGAGCGAAUGAAAGAAAGCGAUAUACGAUUUUUCAUUUAAGCCGCAUUGUUAUUGGAAAGUAAUACGCUACAUUAGCAAAAACUACUCCUACUAUUUACUUCUCGCACUUCUUUUGUGCUUGAUGCCCGUUCGCAAGACACUUGAGAGUUUUCGCCACUUCAUAGCCCAACGAAGAGAAACCGCAGCAGCAGCCGCAAAUGCCAACGACAAUGGAAGAGUAUUUGCGCUUCACGCUCAUUCACCAUUUUCACCGCCUCGUUAGACUGCGAUGGCAGACAUUGGAGCGGCAGCACCAACCAAGCAAAAUAUUCGCUUGAAAGGCUUAGCUACUUAAAAUUCCAACGGAACGCCUACCACAUACUAUUACUGACACUGUUUGCCAUUGUCUAGUGCGCGCUUUUCUCUGUUUCACGGUCUUUUGGUAAGCAAGUGAGAGCGCGCAGCAACAGCGCUUCGCUUCUACCAGCCUUUAGACAAGAUGCCGGCUUGCCGGGAAUCUCCUAUUACUACUUUUUUAAGCACAGUUGUGCCUUUUGUAGCAGCAUGCAACCGCUAAAAGCGAAUCCAUACUGCUGCUGUUGCUGCACUAUUUUAUUCCAGAAAUUCCAUAGCCGGGAACAAAUGCAAACGACAUUUCCGGCCAGCAAGUAUGCGAGCCAUCGCAUCCAGGUGGACGAGACGCUGGAACAAUCAGUCCUUUUGUAUACUCCGAACAUUCGGUGUCUGCCCAAGAUACGCGUUGCCCUUAACCGCAACAGUUGUACAGAUAUGUAGCUGCAGCGCGGUUUUACUUGCGCGGCUUAUGAACUUUGUACGUCCUUCAGUGGCGCUAUCAGCAGCACUCUAUGCUGGAAAGUGCAACAGAAUGGACAACGCUUUUAAAUGCAAAAGUGGCGCAGAGAAAAAUUUACGGUGAUUUAGGAAGCAGUGAUUUGCUUGCAACAAAAAGUGUGUGUGGCUUCUUAAUCAUUCGCUUGCGCUCCAGGCUUCAGGUUUCUUACCGGGAGUAGGAGCGGGUUGCGGCAGGCGCAGCGUCAACCAUUCGCCUAUGCUAUCGCGGUGGUUAGCUGGUAUGUGGGUGAGUGGGUGGCGGCAAGUGCAACUCACUGGCAACCAGCGCUCUUCGACAUGCUGUAUGUAUGAAGCUUACCCACAUACUUUUUUUUGUCGACGCUUUGUGCGUAACUAGCACAAAGCCUUUUACUUCUGUAUGGCGUUUGUUGCUGGUGACAAUCAUAGCGGUAAAUAUAUCGGCACUAAUUUCAGGGAUUUAACAUGCUGUUGGCGGUGUUGUUCGUACCAAAUAUGUGGCCACCAAAGGCUAUCAAAGGAUUUCAGCAGCAGCCAAGGAGGGCGCUAAACAUAUGUAAAUUUGGCAGCACAGCACUUGGCAAUGACCUACAAAAAUUAUUUAUUCAAAGAUUUAUUUUUUGGUUGCCAUGUGUGUGGAGAAACAGACAGACAGAUAACCAGCCAGAAAUCCUGUUUUCCAUCGCCACACUGCGCUGGUAAGUGAUUUUAUGCUAAAUGCGCACGCGUCACACUCUAAAAAAAUAUGAUAAUAAUGCAAAUAAACGGACUAGAGAGCGCGCAAACGAAUACAUACAUAUAUACGAACUCGUAAAAGGCAAGGAAGGACUUGUUGCAUAAUUAUGCGCGUCACUUCGAAAGCCACGAAACGCUGGUGCUACUAAAAAAUUUAUGAAUGAAAAAUGCAGAGAAGGCCGCAGUGUAGUUUUACGCUACUAAACUCCUGCCGCUUUGGCUCAAUCAUAUGGACAGCGACCAAUAGUGUUGGCAUAUCGGCAGCGACGGUGCGCCGCAGCGGCAACAUCAACGCUGCAUGGUGGUACGAGUGGCACCGGAGACGCGGCUGCUGCAGCAUGGUGAUGAUAAUGAGCAAGAUUAGCAUUUCGCAGCUUUUUCGUGAACCGUUUUAACCGCACCAAAGUAAGCAGGGGCACGCCAAGCCAAGCCAAACCAAACCAAAACCUCAGCUUCUACCGUAAUUAUUAUUAGCAUAAUUUUUUGUGUUCAUCUCCGGGUGCACAUUUCACUUAUUGUUUAUUUUGUAGUAGGUAUUUUUUGUAUAUAGGUAGUACGAGUAAUUAUGUGUGGUGCAGCGGCGUCGGUCAUUUCACAGCUUUUCAUUGAGCACGUCGAUAAAAGACGAAAAGAGUCCAUCCACUGCAGCGUUCGCUGGCUAUCAGUGUUGCCAGAACUUUUUGGGCCGACCGGCUAAUUUGGUCAAAAAAUAGGCUAAAAUGUUUCAACUAAA